rnacentral:misc_RNA from 1 species
AUGUAUAGUUUUGUAAUUUUGGUAUAAUGUUAUUAAUUUUUUUUUUGUUAUUAGUUGUUAUUUGAUUAAGAGUAAAUAGUUUUUUUAAGUUUUAGUUUUUUUAUUUGUAAAAUGGAGAUAAUAUUUUAUUUAUUGUAUAGAGUUAUAAUGAGGGUUUAUAUAGUUAAUAUUUGUAAAGAUUUAGGAAAGUGUAUAUAGGAAGU